GGGAGACAGUAUGAAGCUCAUCAGCAUCAUCCACCUUCAUGUUGUUCCUCCAGGUCAGACAGGAGGACAAGAGAAGGAUGAAGACAACAAAGAUGGAGGAAAGGAGGAUGGAUCUGUUGGACUGAUAGUUGGUCUGUCAGUUCUUUUUGUGCUUCUUCUUGUUGCUGCUGCUGUUGGUUUCUUGAUCUACAGAAAAUAUAAACAACAACAGAGUGAGGAAACAAACCAGCCUCCUGUUUAAGUGCAGCAGGUUAAAAUGUUUCAGAGGUUUUUCCAGUGUUGAGUCGGCUGCUGCUGUUCAGAGUUCUGGGUGUUGUCAGUGUUUAAAAUCGUACAAAAACAGAUGAACUGAGCACAGACAGCA